rnacentral:rRNA from 1 species
UGCAGUCGAGCGGAUGAGUGGAGCUUGCUCCAUGAUUCAGCGGCGGACGGGUGAGUAAUGCCUAGGAAUCUGCCUGGUAGUGGGGGACAACGUUUCGAAAGGAACGCUAAUACCGCAUACGUCCUACGGGAGAAAGUGGGGGAUCUUCGGACCUCACGCUAUCAGAUGAGCCUAGGUCGGAUUAGCUAGUUGGUGAGGUAAAGGCUCACCAAGGCGACGAUCCGUAACUGGUCUGAGAGGAUGAUCAGUCACACUGGAACUGAGACACGGUCCAGACUCCUACGGGAGGCAGCAGUGGGGAAUAUUGGACAAUGGGCGAAAGCCUGAUCCAGCCAUGCCGCGUGUGUGAAGAAGGUCUUCGGAUUGUAAAGCACUUUAAGUUGGGAGGAAGGGCAGUAAGUUAAUACCUUGCUGUUUUGACGUUACCGACAGAAUAAGCACCGGCUAACUUCGUGCCAGCAGCCGCGGUAAUACGAAGGGUGCAAGCGUUAAUCGGAAUUACUGGGCGUAAAGCGCGCGUAGGUGGUUCGUUAAGUUGGAUGUGAAAGCCCCGGGCUCAACCUGGGAACUGCAUCCAAAACUGGCGAGCUAGAGUAUGGCAGAGGGUGGUGGAAUUUCCUGUGUAGCGGUGAAAUGCGUAGAUAUAGGAAGGAACACCAGUGGCGAAGGCGACCAC